UCCAGGUUGGAAGAAGGAGUCUCGACCAUUUGGAUUGGUCGAUAGUCGUGCCACGCCCUUGUUCGGGGUAGGAAAUCCAGGGCC